rnacentral:rRNA from 1 species
GACGAACGCUGGCGGCGUGCUUAACACAUGCAAGUCGAACGGUGAAGGGGUCUGCUUUUGUGGGCCCUGGAUGAGUGGCGAACGGGUGAGUAACACGUGAGUAACCUGCCCCCUUCUUCUGGAUAACCGCAUGAAAGUGUGGCUAAUACGGGAUAUUCUGGGUCUGUCGCAUGAUGGGUCUGGGAAAGAUUGCGCCUUUGGGUGUUUUUGGUGGGGGAUGGGCUCGCGGCCUAUCAGCUUGUUGGUGGGGUGAUGGCCUACCAAGGCGGUGACGGGUAGCCGGCCGGAGAGGGUGGACGGUCACAAUGGGACUGAGACACGGCCCAGACUCCUACGGGAGGCAGCAGUGGGGAAUAUUGCACAAUGGGCGCAAGCCUGAUGCAGCGACGCCGCGUGAGGGAUGGAGGCCUUCGGGUUGUAAACCUCUUUCGCCAGUGAAGCAGGCCUGCUCCUUGUGGGUGGGUUGACGGUAGCUGGAUAAGAAGCGCCGGCUAACUACGUG